ensembl:lincRNA
UAAAAAAAAAAAAACAACAACUGGCAAAAAUGAGUAAAUUAGACAGGAGAUUAAGAAAUGAUUAGUACUAUGGAGAAAAAUAAAGCAGAGAAUGGAGAUGGGGGUGAAUGGGUCAAAACAGAGUUCUGGAAGUACUCACUGCAGAGACAAAUGGAAAUGAGUCCACUCUAGGAAGAAGAAUAACUGGAAGCUUGAGCUGUGUAAAUGUGACUUGGAAAUGUGACUUCAGGAGAAAGAACCAGGUUUGACACAGUGGGCUAAUCUUAAACAGGGACAGUAAUUGGAGCAGAAUGGCCACAAAUGAGCCG